rnacentral:rRNA from 1 species
CAGGUCAUACUAGACCAUCCAGGUUGUAAACCGCAGCUUGGAUCAUCGGCGAGCACCGACAAUCCCUUUGACUUCAGCAACGUUGAUAUGAGACUGCCGAUGCUUGUCUACAUAUCCCGGGAGAAGGGGCCUGGUUAUGACAACCAAAAGAAGGCAGGCGCCAUGAACGCGAUGCUCCGUGUCUCGGCGUUGCUCUCCAACGCGCCCUUCAUCAUUAAUUUCGACUGCGACCACUACAUCAACAACUCGCAAGCUCUGCGUGCCCCUCUGUGCUUCAUGCUCGACCCUCGUGACGGUCAGAACACGGCCUUCGUCCAAUUCCCGCAACGGUUCGACGACGUCGACCCGACAGAUCGCUACGCCAACCACAACCGUGUCUUCUUCGACGGCACCAUGCUCGCGCUCAACGGUCUCCAAGGGCCUUCCUACCUUGGCACUGGCACGAUGUUCCGCCGUGUCACACUGUACGGCAUGGAGCCGCCACGUUAUCGGACGGAGAACAUUAAGCUUGUAGGUAAUGCAGAUGAGUUCGGUAAGUCGACGUCGUUCACGAAAUCGAUGCUGGAUGGCGCAAUCCAAGAGCGAUCUAUCACCCCGGUGUUGGUCGAUGAGGGGCUGAGCAAUGACCUGGCCGCCCUGAUCAUGUGCUCUUACGAGGACGGGAGUUCAUGGGGGAGAGACAUCGGAUGGGUGUACAACAUUGCGACGGAGGACGUGGUGACUGGAUUCCGCAUUCACCGCCAAGGGUGGCGUUCCGUGUAUUGCUCCAUGGAGCCGGCCGCGUUCCGUGGGACGGCUCCGAUCAACCUCACUGAGCGCCUCUACCAGGUUCUCCGGUGGUCCGGCGGCUCCCUCGAGGUGUUCUUCUCCCACAACAAUGCCCUCAUGGCUGGCCGCCGGCUCCACCCUCUGCAACGCAUCGCGUACUUCAACAUGUCGACGUACCCGAUCGUCACCGUGUUCAUCCUGGCCUACAACUUCUUCCCGGUCAUGUGGCUCUUCUCCGAGCAGUUGUACAUCCAGAGGCCGUUUGGAACGUACAUCGCGUACCUCAUCGCCGUCAUAGCGAUGAUGCAUGUGAUUGGCAUGUUCGAGGUUAAAUGGGAGGGGAUCACCCUGCUCGACUGGUGCCGCAACGAGCAGUUCUACUUGAUCGCGGCGACCGGCGUGUACCCGACAGCCGUGCUGUACAUGGCGUUGAAGCUCGUCACGGGUAAGGGGGUGCACUUCAGGCUCACAUCCAAGCAGACGGAGGCCUGCUCCCGUGACAAGUUCGCCGACCUGUACACCGUGCGAUGGGUGCCGCUGCUUAUCCCGACCGCCGCAGUGCUCGUCGUGAACGUCGCGGCCGUCGGGGCGGCGAUCGGCAAGGCGGCGACAUGGGGUUUUUCUACGGACCAGGCGCGGCACGUGCUGCUCGGGAUGGUGUUCAACGUGGGGAGCCUCGUGCUCCUCUACCCGUUUGCACUCGGCAUCAUGGGGCAACGGGGGAAGAGACCCGUCAUCCUAUUCGUCCUGCUGCUCAUGGCCAUUGCCGCCGUCGGGCUCUUGUAUGUCACGCUCUACGCCCCGUACCCACAAGAAACUGCCGUUUCUCUCUUGGUAAAGCAUCUCUGA